CGAGCAUCGCUGCUUCUCCUUCUACCCCGUCUGGGCCACCUGGGCCACUGCAGAGUCGUACUGCUCCCAGCACAGAGGGAACCUGGUGUCGGUUCACAGCCCUGGUCAACAGAUGUUUGUCCAGGAUCUGGUCAGGAGACACACAGACCAGCCGGUCUGGAUAGGAGGCUACGACGCAGCUCAGGAGGGGAUGUGGCUGUGGAGUGAAGGCUCAG